rnacentral:misc_RNA from 1 species
CCGAGUUGCAAAACUCCCUAAACCAUUGUGAACCUACCUUACCGUUCCUUCGGCGGGCGGCGUCAAGCCCUAACCCGUCCCCCUUCCGGGGGGAUGGACCCGCCGGAGGCUCCUAAACUCUUAACUUUAGUUGGCAUCUCUGAGUAAAUCAAAAUAAGUCA